GAGCAGUUGAACCGGAGAAUCGGAGGCGAGCGGCGAGAGACAAGGGAAGGAGAGGUAGGGGUCCUAGGGCGGAGGUGCGAAGGGGAGCACCCGCGGGCGCCUCCGGCGAGGCGAACGGCCGGCGACCACCGCUCUUACAAGCCGGCGCCUAGGUUACUAGAUCUGGUCUCAAUAAGAGGGCAAGAUAUGGAUAUUAUCUGUGACAUAUUUUCACGGUUACGUUUCAAAGAAGCUGCAAGGACGAGCAUGGUGUCUAGGAGUUGGAGAAGGCUUUGGAGAUGCUACCCAAAUCUUGUCUUCACCAGACGAACAAUGCUCCAUGGCAACAUAACAGACGACCACCCAGCACACUACAUCCUGGCUACAUUUAUCUCUCGUGUAAACAACAUCUUGUGGCAGUUAAGGUCGUCCUCUCUCGAGAAUUUCAUAGUAAAAUUCCCUCUCCUUGGGAGAGAUGCACAUCACAUUGACAGAUGGGUUAGCUUUUCUGCUGCUUCAAGAGCUAGGCAAAUUGUUCUUUAUCUCUGUCCAGAAGAAGAGGACACUGACAUGAAUGACAUGUACAGUUUCCCCCUGCAUAUCUUCUCUGGUGACAAUUGCGUCAGCUCUCUCUCCCUAGGGUUCGUCUCCCUGACACUGCCUCCUCAUCUCAGUGGCUUCACAAACCUGAAGAAGCUUGGGCUGCACAUGGUGUCCAUCAGGGGAGAUCUGCAGUGCCUGCUCUCCCAGUGUGAUGUUAUGGAGUGGUUAAGCCUGACAAAGUGUUCAUUGCAACAUCGAAGCAUAUGCCAGAAGCUGCACCAGUUGCGGUAUCUGUGCGUGCGCAAGUGUAGAUUGCAGAAGCUAGAUCUGCAAGCACCGAACCUGACAGAAUUGGAGCUCGCCAACUAUCCAAUACCAAUUGUGCUCGGCGAAUGCCUGAACUUGUCGGUGGCGACGAUCGAGCUGGUGUCGUUCUCGGAUUGUUUGAGCUAUGUCGCCACUGAGCUUCCAGCUGGUGGUCUUUAUCACGUGCAGGAUCGUCUCUCCAUCAACAUGACAGUCAGAACUGAGUCGCGAGGAUUUGCAGAAAGCAUUGGCAGGUUCAACAAUCUGAAGCAUCUGAUCUUGAACAUCGAUGUCCAGGGAAGUUCGGACAAUGGCAGCGGAAUUCUUCGCCUGGCUUCGCUACUGGAGAUGGCACCAUGUCUGGAAGAGCUGGAACUCAAUAUGUACUGUCCUAGUGCACCGAUCUACACAAAGCGUGGUCAGUUAGAUAAAUUAAGUUCAGUGUGUGUGCACAAGCAUCUCAGGACUGUACGCAUGACAGGAUUCGAUAGUACACGUGGACAGCUUGAACUGGCGUUCCAAAUUCUUAGGAGUGCACCCAAUCUUGACCGUCUGAUCGUUGAUCCGAUGGUUAGGGUUGCAUGGAGCCUGCGCCUUGAUUGGUCGGAGCAAGCUGAUCUGAUGCUCGUUCGAAGGAUGAUGGCCGAGAACCGCCUUCUCAGAAGCGAGUACCGUCACAUGAUUACCCUUCUAUGAAAAAGGCACUUUUUUUGUAGUUUCAAAUUUUGUUGCAUAUAUAAAUAUCAAUAUCCAGCGACUUUUUUCUUUUUGGUAUAUAUUUUCUCGCCAGUGAAUUGGGAGAGGCCGUGUUAUAUUUAUGAAAAUUGUUUGUUGC
rnacentral:lncRNA from 1 species